UGAUAAAAAGAGAAAUGUUAGUUGUACAUUCGAAAGUAGAUUGUGUUGGAUAUAUUAUUAUUAUUGGAUAUUUUGUUAUAAUAUAAUCCAAAUAAUAUGUUCACAUACAAGCCCAAUAAGUGAAAGCGUAUUAAGGCCCAUAUCUCUGGAGCCCAAUAGCUUAUUUAAAAAUUCUAGGGUUUCCUACGCUGGAGGUAACACUGUUGAGCGUUCCAAACUUGACGUCUCUUGGUGUAAUACUUUAAGCACCUAAAAAUCCUAACCUCCAACAGAUUGUUCGUCUGCAUUAUAUAUACUUCACCGAUCUUAUAAAAGUUGAAA
rnacentral:lncRNA from 1 species